UGGGUAACCUGCCUCAAAGAGGGGAAUAGCCUCCCGAAAAGGGAGAUUAAUACCGCAUAAUAUGUUUUAGUCGCAUGACUUAAACAUCAAAAGGAUUUUUCUUUUAAGAAAAUUCCACUUUGAGAUGGACCCCGCGGCGCAUUAGCUAGUUGGUGAGGUAACGGCUCACCAAGGCAACGAUGCGUAGCCGACCUGAGAGGGUNAUCGGCCACAUUGGAACUGAGACACGGUCCAGACUCCGUAGGAGG
rnacentral:rRNA from 1 species